GACCUGCCCAGUGAAAUGAUUUUAACGGCCGCGGUACCUUGACCGUGCAAAGGUAGCAUAAUCAAUUGUCUUAUAAUUGAAGACUGGAAUGAAAGGUUAAACGAAAUUAAAACUGUCUCAUUUAAAUUACCUAAAAAUUGGCUUUUAAAUGAAGAGAUUUAAAUUUAGUUAGAAGACAAGAAGACCCUAUCGAGCUUUAAGUAAUUUUUGUAAUUAUAGUUAUUAUGAAGAUUGAAAUUACAAAGAUUUUUUAGUUGGGGCGACUAAGGAACAAAAAAAGCUUCUUGAAAAUAAUUAAUUUAUGUAUUAUGACCAGUUAAUUCUGACUCAAGAAAUAGUUACCGUAGGGAUAACAGCGUAAUCUCCUUAGAGAGUUCUUAUCGAAAAGGGGGGUUGCGACCUCGAGUUGGAUUAAAAUAAUCCUAAAAAUGCACAAGUUUUUGAAGUGUUAG
rnacentral:rRNA from 1 species